rnacentral:rRNA from 1 species
UACAGAGGUCUCGAGCGUUGUUCGGAUUCAUUGGGCGUAAAGGGCGCGUAGGCGGCGGGGCAAGUCGGGUGUGAAAUCUCAGAGCUCAACUCUGAAACUGCACUCGAUACUGCUUUGCUUGAGGACUGGAGAGGAGAUUGGAAUUCACGGUGUAGCAGUGAAAUGCGUAGAUAUCGUGAGGAAGACCAGUGGCGAAGGCGGAUCUCUGGACAGUUCCUGACGCUGAGACGCGAAAGCGUGGGGAGCAAACAGG